rnacentral:rRNA from 1 species
UACGUAGGGGGCAAGCGUUAUCCGGAAUUACUGGGCGUAAAGCGCACGCAGGCGGUUCGCCAAGUUUGGAGUGACAGUUGUCGGCUCAACCGACAAAGGACUUCAAAAACUGGUGAACUUGAGGACGAGAGAGGAACAUGGAACUCCAGGUGUAGUAGUGAAAUGCGUAGAUAUCUGGAAGAACACCAAUGGCGAAGGCAAUGUUCUGGCUCGUUUCUGACGCUCAGGUGCGAAAGCGUGGGGAGCGAACAGG